UCAGUAUAUAUUCAGUAUAUAUAUACACAUAAUGGAAGAAAAAAAAGGGUAUGAACAGCAGGCAAAACGGCCCUGAAAAUGCAACCGCAUGCAAGCUGAAAUCCACUUUUGCUUAAUAUUUUCAUCACACGCGAACCUCGACAUUUGUCUUGGCUGUUUUUGCCCCUUGUCCUUACCCUUUUUUAUAGCCCAUUUUAAAUUACGACUCAAUUUUUCGUCGCAAGAAAGAGUGAACGAUUUAUCAAUAUGACACAUUAAAAUUAUUAGACGAAUAAUUCAUCAACCCCUUUUGUUACCUACAUGGAAUUUUUGCUUAUAAAAACGAGAAAAAAGAGGAUAAAAGGAUAAAGUCACCCUUUUGACUUCAAGAAGAGAGCAGAAGUCUGACCGUCUGAUAAAAAAACGUACUUAGCCUACUUAAACCCCCUUUAUUUAAACUGAUAAUAACUUGAACUAGACAAAAAAUAAUAUUUACUCUUGCAGGUUCUUCAUCUUUAUAUAAAAAAAGACCACGAUAUUUUUCACCUAAAGUGCUAUAAAUAUAUUUAAUCACGAAUCAUGCUGACUUAAUUCGACUUAAGAUUAGCUAAGACCUUCAGUCCUCAAAACAUAAUUUUAUCCGAUAGAUGAAUAAAUUUUCUAGAAGAUUAGCUAGCUUUAAAUGCAUAAUUUAAUUUUAUUGUGCCUAAAAUAAGGUUUGAGCAAAGAAGGUCAGAAAUAAAACGUAAUGAAAUGGA